rnacentral:lncRNA from 1 species
AACCAAUUCACACUGUAUCCCAUUAUAAAUAUUAUUCAUAGACAGUAAAUCUAUUUAAGCAUUUAUUGUAAACAGAUAGACAUCUUGGUCAAACAAAAACUGACAUCACAGCAUGUACACUUUUGUUAAUUAAGCAGUAAAUGCUGCCUUUUAAAAAACAUGUAAGUAAGUGUUUAUAAAUGAAGAAAACUAUGCUUUUUUCAACAAUAUGCUUAUUUACCUGUUCUUUCAAAUACUAAAAGAAUGUGUUCAAAUCUAUAUGGCAAUUUCCCGAUUUUUUUAAAAAUGAAUAUCUUAAAAGAAAAUCGAGUGAAGCUUUUAAACCUAAGCAAGUAUGUUAACAUAUUCAAUCCUACUUAAAGUGUUACUAAUUAGGUGAAAAUCUCAACUUGUGAACAAUCAUUUAGCAUAAGUUAUAUUUGAUUUCAUAGUUUGCCUCAUUCUGCAUAAUACUUUUUAAUGAUAUUAUGUCAGAAAGCAUGGAGUAUAGUCAUAGUGACCUCAAUGCUGGGAUUUUCCAUAAGAUAAAACUCUUCAUCAGUUAAGAUUAUAAUCUUACUUAAAGGUACUAAGAUAUGUCUUUACCAAGGUCAAUAAAUCAUGACAUUGAGGCUACAGUUAUUGUGCCAAGAAACAUUUGUCACAUUAUUCUUGCAGCAUAAAAAAGCAUCAGAUGUACCUACAAAGAAAUUCAUAGGAUUAUAAGCCUACUUGUUACUUGGACUAGGUUGUUGAUGCAGAGACAAACUCAGAAGUACACCGUUAUACACACAAAUGCAUAGAUGCAAGCAUACUUUAACAGUUUUUCCUCAACUUUGUUGAGGUCAAAGAUAUACAAAUUAAAAAAUAAAUACAUAAUUAAUAACCCUAUAAAAUCAAUAUCAAAAUGCCCAUCAAGAGUAUUUAAUACUAUGUAUGGACUUUCUUAAAUUUUAUCACCAAUUACAAUUAGCAAAUUGUCAUAUUUUCUAUAUUUUCAUACAUUGUUUACUUUCAAAAUCUGUUUCUCUUUGAAUGACAGUACAGUUUCAUAUUUAGAAAAAUUCAGUAUUCUAAUAAUAAAUAAAAAUGUUGUAUCUCCUUACCUUUUGCAAGAACUCUGAAAAAAUGAGAUCUCUUUUGGUAACUGUAUCACAAAUCAUAAAGACAAUAGGCACAUCAUUUACAACAAUAACAUAUAAUGCAAGGGUAUAGAAACCUGAGGAAUGUUCUUAAUGCCAUACAAUCAUUCAUUCAUAUUAUAAGCCAAUUAACUAAAAUUCGUAUUGUUCAUGUAUAUAUAACAAAAGAAAUAUGACUUUUAUCAUUACCUUGAGAAGAAACCCAUAACACUUGUAAAUUUGUUACAAUGGAAAAAUAAGAAUUAAAAAAAAUCAUAGUAUAAUCCAAGGACACAGUUAUUUUCCUGAUUUUAGUAUAAAUAGAGUCCUUGGAUGGAGAGUUGUCAUAUUGGCACUCAUAUGGCCCGAGAACACAGUUAUUUCGUAGUGCAUUUCUUUUAGACAAUAAAUUCAAAUUAAAAAAAUCGCACCUGCUCUUUCUCAAAAAGAUUUUUACAGUGUAGUGUACUGCCAGUGAGACAAAUUAUAUCAAAAUUAUAGAAACUUCUACCAGCUCUAACUAAAAAAAUUGACAAUUCUGUGUUAAGGGGGUGUAAAAUUCAGUUUGACAGCUUAAAUUUGACAUUUUUGAACUGGACCAAAUCACUUCUUAACAUAAAGAUUCAGCACUCAAAUUUUUUUUAACAUGUAAAUACAUCCCCCUACUUAAUAUUUCAUGCAUUUGAUAUCAAGAAAUAAAUUUGGAAAGUGUAUCAAAUAAAACAUGCAAGUUAUACACUGUUUACACUAGGGACUAUAUUCGUAGACAACUGUGUCCUUGGACCAUAUCACAUCUUCCUAUAUCUACUUGUUGAGGACAGUGUCUAACAUGCAUAUUAUUGUUUUGUCAUACACUUUCCAAUUUUAAUUCUUUUUAUUUUAUGCAUGAAAUAUUUAGUGGGGGGAUAAAGUUAUAUUUUUAUAAAAUUUGGGUGAUGAAUUUUUUAUGAUAAGUCAUGAUUUGGUCCAUUUAAACAAAAGGUCAAACAUAAGAAUGUUUGAAGCUGUCAAACUGAAUUAUAGAAUUGUCCAUAUUUGAGUUCCAACUGGUAGACUUUCCUAUGAUUUUAUCAUUAUAUGUCCCAAAAGUAGUAACUACACUGAACAAAUCUUUUUUAAUAUACAGCAGGUGCAAUUUUUUUUAAUUUGAAUUUAUUGUCUAAAAGAAAUGUACCACGAAAUAACUGUUCUCAGGUCGUAAAGUAACAAAAGUUACAUCAACAUCUCUUAGUGUUUCCUGCAGAGGGGACUCAGAUUAAAUGCUGACACUUUUAAGGCACCUUUAUCACGGUGGACUACUAUUUUGGAGCACAGUUAAUUAAAAAAGAUAAAAAAACAACUGUAUAAAUAAGGAUUUCAACAGAUAAUUAUUCAUAUAUAAGGUUUGAAUAAAAUAUAGAUGUCAGUUUACUUAUUUUAUUUCAAUUUGUACUAAAAUAACAUAGCUCAUAGAAUCCAGAUAGUGUGACUGCAUCAUCUUGUUUAUUGACUACUGAUUUUAAGCCAGGAUGUACAUGAGGAUUUGGGUGAACAAGGGUUGAAAUCAAAACUAUUUCUCAGCACUUCUAUAUUCUUUAAUAAAAUGAAAAAAAUCAGAAAGAAAGCCAUCGAUAGAUCCAACAAAUCCCUUCACAGCCUUAAUAGUUUGGUUUUACUUAAUGAAAUAUUAACAGUUUGCUGAAUGUAAUAUAUGGAAUGAAUGCCUGGUUCCCCUUUAAAUAUUAUACAUUUAAAAUCAGGAAAGGAAAAAGGCACUUGGUCGUACUUGAAACUGAUGCACAGCACUGAUCAUAAACUAUGACAAGGAAUAUAAAACACAACAGAAGAUGGUUGGGCACCAAAUUAUCU